UACGAGGGGGGCGAGCGUUGUUCGGAAUUAUUGGGCGUAAAGGGUGCGUAGGCGGUUUGGUAAGUCUCGUGUGAAAUCUCCGGGCUCAACUCGGAGCCUGCACGAGAAACUGCCGGGCUUGAGUGUGGGAGAGGUGAGUGGAAUUCCUGGUGUAGCGGUGAAAUGCGUAGAUAUCAGGAGGAACACCUGUGGCGAAAGCGGCUCACUGGACCAUAACUGACGCUGAUGCACGAAAGCCAGGGGAGCAAACGGG
rnacentral:rRNA from 1 species